rnacentral:lncRNA from 1 species
GUAUUGGGAGCGACAUGGAUUUGUUCUCAUCUAUUGCUAGCAUAGGGUCAUCAUUUGAGCUAGCUUCUAGGAUGGUGAGUGGGGUCUUUGUUCCUUAAAGGUUUAUAUCUUGGGUUUGGAAAGUGAUAAAGUUGAGAUUGAUGAACAAAAGAUUGUCAUGAGAAAGAAAAGCCCUAGGGACCUAGAAUAGAAAAAUAAGAAAGCUCUUGAUUGUAUUGUUUGAGACCUUCCCCCUCUAAAAAAAAAAAAGAAAAAAAAAUGGAGAAAAAGAAAAAGAAAAAAAGAAAGAUUCAAUAAGAUAGUGGGGAAGGGAUAAUAAAAA